GACGUAGGGCGCAAGCGUUGUCUGGAUUUAUUGGGCGUAAAGAGCUCGUAGGCGGCUUGUUGCGUCGACUGUGAAAUCCCGCGGCUUAACUGCGGGCUUGCAGUUGAUACGGGCAGGCUGGAGUUCGGUAGGGGAGACUGGAAUUCCUGGUGUAGCGGUGAAAUGCGCAGAUAUCAGGAGGAACACCGGUGGCGAAGGCGGGUCUCUGGGCCGAUACUGACGCUGAGGAGCGAAAGCGUGGGGAGCGAACAGG
rnacentral:rRNA from 1 species